rnacentral:tRNA from 1 species
GACUAUGUAGUUUACUUAAAAUGUAGGUUUUGUAAGCCUAAGAUAAUAUUUAUGUUUUUAGUCA